rnacentral:misc_RNA from 1 species
UGUGUAGCUGCACUGCCUUUGU